UCCAUGGAGGACUAGUGGUUAGGCCUCGGCGUUCUCUUCGCUCCGGCUCGGGUUCGAUUCCCGGCCAGGGAA